CCCUUAGAUGUUCUGGGCAGCACACGCGCUACAAUGGUCUUCGCAAACGGAUGCAUUCUCGAAGGAGAAUGCCAAUCUUGGAAUCUAUGCCUUGGUCGGGACAGUUGCUUGCAAUUUUUCGACUCGAACCAGGAAUUCCUUGUAAUCGUGAUUCAUCACGUCACGAUGAAUACGUCCCUGCCCUUUGUACACACCACCCGUCGCUCCUACCGAUCGAAGAGUUAGGUGAAUUGUUUUGAUCGAUAAGAUUUGACUAUGGUCAACUCUCGUUGUGAAAUUCUGUGAAUCUGACUGUUUAGAGGAAGGAAAAGUCGUAACA
rnacentral:rRNA from 1 species